rnacentral:rRNA from 1 species
CUAGAGAUAGAAGUUUCCCCUUCGGGGGACAAAGUGACAGGUGGUGCAUGGUUGUCGUCAGCUCGUGUCGUGAGAUGUUGGGUUAAGUCCCGCAACGAGCGCAACCCUUAAGCUUAGUUGCCAUCAUUAAGUUGGGCACUCUAAGUUGACUGCCGGUGACAAACCGGAGGAAGGUGGGGAUGACGUCAAAUCAUCAUGCCCCUUAUGAUUUGGGCUACACACGUGCUACAAUGGACAAUACAAAGGGCAGCGAAACCGCGAGGUCAAGCAAAUCCCAUAAAGUUGUUCUCAGUUCGGAUUGUAGUCUGCAACUCGACUACAUGAAGCUGGAAUCGCUAGUAAUCGUAGAUCAGCAUGCUACGGUGAAUACGUUCCCGGGUCUUGUACACACCGCCCGUCACACCACGAGAGUUUGUAACACCCGAAGCCGGUGGAGUAACCAUUUGGAGCUAGCCGUCGAAGGUGGGACAAAUGAUUGGGGUGAAGUCGUAACAAGGUAGCCGUAUCGGAAGGUGCGGCUGGAUCACCUCCUUUCUAAGGA